rnacentral:rRNA from 1 species
GUGGGGAAUCUUCCGCAAUGGACGAAAGUCUGACGGAGCGACGCCGCGUGAGUGAAGAAGGCCUUCGGGUCGUAAAGCUCUGUCAUCAGGGACGAACGGCCGGUGGAGUGGAAAGCCACCGGAUUGACGGUACCUGAGAAGGAAGCCACGGCUAACUACGUGCCAGCAGCCGCGGUAAUACGUAGGUGGCAAGCGUUGUCCGGAAUUAUUGGGCGUAAAGCGCGCGCAGGUGGGAUCUUAAGUCCAUUUUUAAAGUUCGGAGCUCAACUCCGUGAUGGGAUGGAAACUGGGAUUCUUGAGUACCGGAGAGGAAAGCGGAAUUCCCCGUGUAGAGGUGAAAUGCGUAGAUAUGGGGAGGAACACCAGUGGCGAAGGCGGCUUUCUGGACGGUGUCUGACACUGAGGCGCGAAAGCCAGGGGAGCGAACGGGAUUAGAAACCCGGGUAGUCC